AGGCCAGCCAAUAAGUAAUGUAUGGAAACUAUUGGAUUUUGUAGGACCUUGCAGCUGAAUUCCCUAAGCUUGAACCAGAUGGUCUUGAUCUUCUUUCGAGAAUGCUUUGCCUAUGCCCAAAUAGCAGGAUUUCAGCUGUGGAAGCACUUGAACACCCAUAUCUUCGACCUUGACCACCCAUGAUGAUUGAUGAAGCUGAUCUUGUUUCAAGCACCCCAAGAUUUUUUUUUCUUCUGUUUUCCGUAGUACAUUUUACAGAACAAUCUUAUAGAAUAUUAGGUAUCCUAUUGGAUAUAUCAUGUGUUAAGGCAAUGACAAGAACUGGAGGCAAACAAAAUUUAGCAAUCUUAUAAAACCGUAGUAAUAAACUUUUGUCCUAUUAAUUGCCUAAUUGCAUGUGA